AUGGGGUACUCUUGGGUUGUGGGUAAUGGCAAGAAAAUUCGUUUUUGGGAGGACCAGUGGUUUGGUACUGCGCCACUAUCCACUCAAUUUUGGGGCUUGUAUUCUUUGGCUAAUGAUCACAACAUCUCUAUUUAUAAAAUUUGGGAUGGGGUUGAUCUAAAGAUCACCUUUAGGAGAUGUCUGGGGGGUGAUCUUUUGUCUGACUGGAUGGACCUUGUCUCUAUUGCUAGUACUAUUGCCUUUAAAGAUUGUGAGGAUACUCCAGUCUGGAAGUACAGUGCAAAUGGACAAUAUUCAGUUAAAUCUUUUUACAAUAUUGUGAACUUUAGGGGAGUCCUCCCCAUCCACACACAGUAUGUGUGGAAGCUAAAGAUUCCCUAGAGUACAAAUUUUUUUUUAUGGCUGGUUUAUAAUAACAAGAUUUUAACGAGAGAUAACCUUGUUAAGAGACAGCAUGUCCCUGACAUGACUUGCAUGUUUUGCUCUGAACCAGAAUCUUGCCAUCAUUUAUUUUUUGAAUGUUUAGUGUCGAUUGAACUCUGGAGAGUUAUUGGAGACAUAUCAGGAGCUGGCAAGGUCUCUAAUAUUGAGAACCUUGCGGCCUGGUGGGUUUCCAAUAAGAAACAUGCAGUUGUGAAUGCUUUGCAUGCCGCUGCAGUGUGGUCUCUCUGGAAAAUCAGGAAUAACCUGUGUUUCAAUCGCUCUGUGUGGUCUGGAAUGCAGGAAUUAUGGAGACAGGUGGCUAUGGAGCUGUUCUCAAACGAUGCAAAAAUCCAGGUUACUGCGAUGGUGAAAAACCUCGAGAAGCUUGCCAGAGAUCCUCCUAUGCUGAUUUGGAAAAUGCUUGUCACACUGGUUUCGUUGUUUUUGCAAUGGAACCGGGGCUGCCUGCCCUUUUGCUCUAAAAAAAACAGUCCCUAA
rnacentral:rRNA from 1 species